GUUUGGUUUCGUGUGCCACAUGACUCCCAAAGUUCUACCUCACAAUGCAGUGCCAGUGCACCAUAGACACUAUCAAGAGACUUACAGCCUGCUGGGUAUUGUCAGUGACCUACUGUCGGAACACGUGCAAAAAUGGAGCCGCGUGAGGAGAAUUCUGAGUGCUUGUGAGAAAACUCCAAGAAAGCAAGAGCCUCGUGACCUCCGUUUCUCCAAAACAAGUAAUUGUCCUUGGAAUGUGUUUGCAUGCAUCUCCAGGGCGCAGCAGAUAAGAGCGCGUUAACUUCAGAUCACUCAUCCCACCUGCACACGCUGCUCUCCCUCCAGGGUGUGCGCUUUGCUCAUGUGACGUUUCCCGAUGCUCUGAAGGAAGCUGGCGAUUGCACGUGACUGUAGUCCUCCUAGUGCAUCAGUUCUACUCUCCAGGUCCCACUGCCAACUAGAGCGGCAAACCGUCUACCGAUUAUUUAAAUAUAAAGAGGGGUGUGCUUGUGAAGUGUACAGACAGCAUGCAACUUUGAACAUACACGGACUUUAGUAUCUGCAGGAGUGUGCCGGUAGACAUCAUAGAUUCUCGCCCACCCCACCCCCAUUGUUGUGGUAUAUAUAUUCGUUGUGGUAUAUCUUUAUGAACUUUAGUUUGCUUUUUACAACUCUGCAUUGGAAUGAUAUGGGUAAAUUUUACCCAUUUUCAUAAUUAUUACCUUGCAGCUCUCUACUUGGUGUUUUUAACGUAGACUGAUAAAAUCCACCAAUCCUGUUGAGCGAGACAGCCUUGUUUCCUUGGCGACCUCCACCCCUCUGGCUUCUACAGUAACAGCUUCCUCUUCCACAGGGUUCCCUGAAGCUUCCCAGGAGGGAUUUGAUAGAGACAUCCUAUUGAGGACUGGGUGUUCCAAGUUCUCUUUCUUUGCAUUUUGUGUAGCUAUGGGUCUCUGUUUUAUCUGCUGCAGGAGGAAGAUUCUUUUAAAGAUGGUGGAUCAGGGCACUGAUCUCAUGCAUAGCACAUGCCAUUAGGAGUCAUUUCAUUGCUCCAUGCUCUUAG
ensembl:lncRNA